rnacentral:rRNA from 1 species
UACAGUGGUGGCAAGCGUUGUUCGGAAUUACUGGGCGUAAAGAGCUCGUAGGCGGUUUGUCGCGUCGGCCGUGAAAUCUCUACGCUUAACGUGGAGCGUGCGGUCGAUACGGGCAGACUUGAGUUCGGUAGGGGAGACUGGAAUUCCUGGUGUAGCGGUGAAAUGCGCAGAUAUCAGGAGGAACACCGGUGGCGAAGGCGGGUCUCUGGGCCGAUACUGACGCUGAGGAGCGAAAGCGUGGGGAGCGAACAGG